CCUACGUGUGGCAGCAGUGGGGGAUAUUGCACAAUGGGGGGAACCCUGAUGCAGCGACGCCGCGUGGGUGAAGAAGCGCCUCGGCGCGUAAAGCCCUUUCCGCAGGGAAGAAAAUGACGGUAACUGAAGCAGAAACCCCGGAUAACUACGUGCCAGCAGCCGCGGUAAUACGUAGGGGGCAAGCGUUAUCCGGAUUUACUGGGUGUAAAGGGUGCGCAGACGGCGAUGCAAGCCAGGAGUGAAAGCCCGGGGCCCAACCCCGGGACUGCUCUUGGAACUGCGUGGCUGGAGUGCAGGAGGGGCAGGCGGAAUGCCUGGGGUAGCGGGGAAAUGCGUAGAGAUCAGGAGGAACACCGGUGGCGAAGGCGGCCUGCUGGACUGCAACUGACGUUGAGGCCCGAAAGCGUGGGGAGCAAACAGGAUUAGAUACCCGGGUAGUC
rnacentral:rRNA from 1 species